CCUGGGCUGGCGGGAGAGCAGGAGUUAACCCAUCCUGCGGGAUGAGGCUGUAAUUGCCACUAGGCUCCUAAGAUGAAUGAGCUUUUAAGGACUGCCAACUUCUGAAUGGAGGCAGGAGGACCAGCAACAGCACCGACUUAAUAACCAGCAGCCAGCGGCAGGAGCACAUAUGGAGGCAGCGUGGUUCAGCUGGAAAUAAACCCCGGAGGUGUCAGGGCAGCGGAUAAGGGCUGUGCUGGCAGCGUGGAGGUGGAAAAGAUGAAAUCUGACUGCUGGGGAAACAACCAAGGCUGCCAGGCUGGACAUGCGUGAUACAUCUCUGGCUGGGACUUGGAUCCUUUGAACCCAGCUGAGAAGCAGCAGAGAAAACCAUCAAAUUAGGCACAGGGUUUGACCUCAGAAGACCAUGGAGAGGCUGUGUGCCCUGGGACCCCACAGAGCAGCACCUGUGGGGGCUGGGGAGAGACCAAGGGCUGCUCCUGCAUGUCAUGGGUGGGGUCACCAAGGGGCACCCGCCCUUCCACUGCGCCAGUAUCACCACCUCUACACCAGGCCCUGUGGCACAAAGGGGUCCAGGGGACCUGUUGUGGCAUUGCCCUGACUCUGAGCAGCUCUUGGAGCUCUUGCACAGCAGCAAACACGUUUAGAACAUUGUACCUCACCCUGCAAGCAGCUCCCUGAGCAGAGGCAGCGGGGCUCUUGUGGAGGAGUCACAGCUAAGCUUAAGCAUCUGGCUCUGUGCAUUCCUAUAUUGUAAUAAAAUAAGUCUUCCCACAGAUUUCACGUCAUCUUUGUCUGGGCAUCACUGAACUGUGAAGAGAGGAACUUUUUUGUGGUUUUCCAAGGAACAAAGAGAUGAUCUGCAUCUGGUGAGGUGUCCUGGCAGCCUCCUGCACUCCAAGCCUGUAUCUCAUGCUAGCCGUGCAGCCCGGUGUCCUGGGACAGCUGCCUGGCACACAGCACCCAAACUGCAGAGCCUGUGAUCCCCCAGGCCUGGGGACUGUGAGAGAACCUCACUGCAACCCACAAAGACCAGGAACAGCAGCCCCCAAAGAGAAAGAGAUUCCCCAGCUGUCUCUGCGUCUGUAUCAGCUUGACCUGAAACAAGGAUGUUCUUCUGCUGGAGUCACUGAUAUCACCAACAUUCAGGGAGGAUAAGGGGCAAAGCUCCUUCCAUGGCUACAGAAUAUCUGACUGUAGAUACAAGGUUCUUAUCCAAAUGUUUCCUUACGAUAUCUCCUGGGAUGCUUCCUUUUAAGGCCAAAUUUGUCUGUAUUGGUCCCUACUCUAGAAAGGAAUUUGAGGUGCAGAACCAGUUCUGAUGUCAGAGCAGCAUUGCUGCCACACUCCUGCACAUGCUGUACACCUGAGGAACACAGCAGGCUGCAGCACUCGGCGUCCUGGGCCUUCUUGUGUGCCCCUUGUACGCCCCUGGCCUUAAACACACUGAUCUGUGUGCACAGCUUGGACCUUGACAUGCUUCAGCAGAGAAACGCUUCACAGGUCAGUGAUUAUUUCUCAGCCACUCGACAGACACCCAUCACAUCACGGAGCACAGAACCCACCCAGAGGAUAACAAAACAGCACAGGGAGGAGCAUCUGUGCUUGGUUCAAACAGAUGGAAACCAUGCACUGAGCGAUCCCUCGAGUCCAGGGCUUGUGUCUCACCCAUCCAUCAUGUCCUGGUGCUGCAUCGCUCAGGCAUUUCUGACAAAAGUGAUGAGAUAAUCUCUGCCCUGUGGGAGCUGCUCUGCUGGUAUGUCCUGUGACAGGAGAGGGGAAGCAGAGCGCUGCCUCCUCCCCUGCUCAUCUUUGCAGAGAUCCCUGUUCUGACUCAGCCUCAGUAGGGAAUGCAAGUCCCUCAAAUAACCUCCAAAGAUUUGGAAAUCAGGCUCAGGGAGGCACCAUCAGUUUGUGUCACUGCUGGAGAGGAAAGGUAUUACCUGAAGUUGCACAGAGUCAUGAACAACUGGAUGAGAAGAAAUACAUAUUGCAGCUGGAUUUCUCUGCUCCCCCUUAAAAAACCACCACCACAGAGAGUAAAUGACUGAAACCAUAGAGCCAUUAGCUAAACUCUCCAGCCUCAAAGCUGUCCCACUUGGGAAGGUCUGGACAGGACAGCUGCCUGUGGGGACCCUGCCACACGUUGACUCAUGAGUUGGCUGCCUUCAUGAACCCUACUGAGAACCUGAGUUUAGUUCGUAGCAAAUGUCCUCUGGGGAUGGAAAAAAUAAAAAUUAAAAAAAAAAAAAGAGAGAGACUGACCCAUUUGAGUUCCAUCUGUUGGGGUUUAUAAUGUUCUCCUUAUAAUUGCCAACAGACAAUGUGAAUUGCAAUUAGCUAAUUGCUUGCUAACUUUCCGUUCUAAUAAUAGUCAUGUUCCAGUGUUAUACAAGCUUGGAGGCUGCUGCUGUUCCCUUGCA